rnacentral:rRNA from 1 species
GAUGAACGCUGGCGGUGUGCCUAAUACAUGCCAGUCGAGCGAACAGACGAGGAGCUUGCUCCUCUGACGUUAGCGGCGGACGGGUGAGUAACACGUGGAUAACCUACCUAUAAGACUGGGAUAACUUCGGGAAACCGGAGCUAAUACCGGAUAACAUAUUGAACCGCAUGGUUCAACAGUGAAAGACGGUCUUGCUGUCACUUAUAGAUGGAUCCGCGUCGCAUUAGCUAGUUGGUAAGGUAACGGCUUACCAAGGCAACGAUGCGUAGCCGACCUGAGAGGGUGAUCGGCCACACUGGAACUGAGACACGGUCCAGACUCCUACGGGAGGCAGCAGUAGGGAAUCUUCCGCAAUGGGCGAAAGCCUGACGGAGCAACGCCGCGUGAGUGAAGAAGGUCUUCGGAUCGUAAAACUCUGUUAUUAGGGAAGAACAAAUGUGUAAGUAACUAUGCACGUCUUGACGGUACCUAAUCAGAAAGCCACGGCUAACUACGUG